rnacentral:rRNA from 1 species
UACGGAGGGGCUAGCGUUGUUCGGAAUUACUGGGCGUAAAGCGCGCGUAGGCGGACCUGCAAGUCGGGGGUGAAAGCCCGAGGCUCAACCUCGGAACUGCCUUCGAUACUGCGGGUCUCGAGUCCGGGAGAGGUGAGUGGAAUUCCUAGUGUAGAGGUGAAAUUCGUAGAUAUUCGCAAGAACACCAGUGGCGAAGGCGGCUCACUGGCCCGAUACUGACGCUGAGGCACGGAAAGCGUGGGAGCAAACAGGG